AUGACCUUUUAAAUGAAGCUGAACCUCACCUGUCUUGAAUAACACUUGCUGUUUACUGAGAAGUAGCCCUGCUCAUUUCUCUUUGGCGUUCUCUCUGGCCACCAGGUUUUCUGGGACUUGGUCUUUAUUUUAAACAGUUUGUAGAUAGAGACGAUGGAAUUUUGAAGUUAAUAGAAAGAAGCUGCAGUGACACUAUUAAUCCAAGAAAAAGUCUGCCAAACCUUACUUUACACUUUGAGAAAAUGUUUUGCUUGUUUUCAGUCUGGCCUCAUCACAGUCAUUUUGAACACACACACACACACACACACACAUACACUGUAGUGGGUUGAAUGGUGGCCCCUCAAAAGAUACAUUCACCUGGAACUUGUGAAUGUGACUCUAUUUAGAAAAAUGGUUUUUGCAGAUCUAAUAAGGAUCCUGAAAUGAGAUCAACCUGGAUUAUCCAGGUGGGCCCUAUAGCUAAUGACAAGUGUAGUAUAAGAGACAAGAGAAGACACGGGAGGGCAGAAGGCAAUGUGAAGACAGAGGCAAAGACUGGAGUGAUGCAACUGCAAGCCAAAGAAUCCCUGGAGCUGUCAGAGAUUGGAAGAGGCGAGGAAGCUUCUCCCCUGAGUCUUCAGAGGGAGCACAAGCCUGCCGACACGGUGAUUUUGGACUUCUGGCCUCCAGAACGAUUCCUGCUGCGCAUCGACACCAGACUGCUCUGGGCACCUCAAGUUCAACAGAUUUAAUUGGAGCCCCUCGAUUUCCUCCACAUCCAUUUCCCCUUCAAAGACCCCUUUCUCAGUUAAGGUAUCUUCCUUACCUACUCCCCAGGACUCAAAACCAAGGUGUUACUUUCGGUGCCUCCUCUGUCAUUCCCACAUCCAAACCAUUGCCAAGUUCGGAUGAUUAUAUUUCCAUGACUUGCUUCACUAUGGUUCCCUUCUUCCCCAUUUAUGCUGCCAUUGUCUUAGUUUGCACCUUCAUUAUGUCUGAACUGUUCACCCUACCACCAGCCUCUCCUGCUUUCAUUUCGUCCUACUCACGGAUGCCCAACCCAUUCUCCCAAAGCUCAGAUCUAAUCAUGUUUCUUCAAGGCAAACAACAACGAAAACCAACCAAACCAAAGACAACCACAACAAAACCACGUACACUGCCCCCGACACACACGCACAUGCACAU
rnacentral:lncRNA from 1 species